rnacentral:rRNA from 1 species
GAUGAACGCUGGCGGCGUGCCUAAUACAUGCAAGUCGAGCGAACGGACGAGAAGCUUGCUUCUCUGAUGUUAGCGGCGGUCGGGUGGGCAAAACGUGGAUUACCUACCUAUAAGCCUGGGAUUAAUUCGGGAAACCGGCGCUAAUACCGGAUAAUAUUUUGAACCGCAUGGUUCAAAAGUGAAAGACGGCCUUGCUAUCACUUAUAGAUGGAUCCAUGCUGCAUUAGCUAGUUGGUAAGGUAACGGGUUACCACGGCAACGAAGGAUAGCCGACCUGAGGGAGUGAUCGGACACACUGGAACUGAGACUCAAUCCAGACUCCUACGAGAGGAAGCAGUAGGGAAUCUUACGCAAUGGGCGAAAGCCUGACGGAGCAACGCCGCGUGAGUCAUGAAGGUCUUCCGAUCGUAGAACUCUGUUAUUAGGGAAGAACAUAUGUUUAAGUAACUGUGCACAUCUUGACGGUACCUAAACAGAAAGCCACGGCUAACUACGUG